rnacentral:rRNA from 1 species
GAUGAACGCUGGCGGCGUGCUUAACACAUGCAAGUCGAACGAUGAAGCCCAGCUUGCUGGGUGGAUUAGUGGCGAACGGGUGAGUAACACGUGAGUAACCUGCCCUUAACUCUGGGAUAAGCCUGGGAAACUGGGUCUAAUACCGGAUAGGAGCGUCCACCGCAUGGUGGGUGUUGGAAAGAUUUAUCGGUUUUGGAUGGACUCGCGGCCUAUCAGCUUGUUGGUGAGGUAAUGGCUCACCAAGGCGACGACGGGUAGCCGGCCUGAGAGGGUGACCGGCGACACUGAGACUGAGACACGGCCCAGACUCCUACGGGAGGCAACAGUGGGGAAUAUUGCACAAUGGGCGCAAGCCUGAUGCAGCGACGCCGCGUGAGGGAUGACGGCCUUCGGGUUGUAAACCUCUUUCAGUAGGGAAGAAGCGAAAGUGACGGUACCUGCAGAAGAAGCACCGGCUAACUACGCG